AGUGAACGCUGGCGGUAGGCCUGACACAUGCAAGUCGAACGGCAGCACAGUAAGAGCUUGCUCUUACGGGUGGCGAGUGGCGGACGGGUGAGGAAUACAUCGGAAUCUACUUUUUCGUGGGGGAUAACGUAGGGAAACUUACGCUAAUACCGCAUACGACCUACGGGUGAAAGCAGGGGAUCUUCGGACCUUGCGCGAUUGAAUGAGCCGAUGUCGGAUUAGCUAGUUGGCGGGGUAAAGGCCCACCAAGGCGACGAUCCGUAGCUGGUCUGAGAGGAUGAUCCGCCCCACUGGAACUGAGCCACGGUCCAGACUCCUACGGGAGGCAGCAGUGGGGAAUAUUGGACAAUGGGCGCAAGCCUGAUCCAGCCAUACCGCGUGGGUGAAGAAGGCCUUCGGGUUGUAAAGCCCUUUUGUUGGGAAAGAAAAGCAGCAGGUUAAUACCCCGCUGUUCUGACGGUACCCAAAGAAUAAGCACCGGCUAACUUCGUG
rnacentral:rRNA from 1 species